ensembl:lncRNA
GGUUUUUAUGUUGGAUUUCUUCAGUAAUUUAAUGAGCAUUAUCAGCAAUAAUCAAGUGUUCAUUUGAUGAACUUCAUUUCCUAAAACAUCCAGAAUUGGAGCUCAUAUCUUUGGCAGCUGUAAAGUUUCUGCUCCUUCAAAGUUCACAACACAAUGAAUGAAUUCCUAAAACACUCUCAAUGCUGGAGAGCGUUUGUGAUGCUGAAGCAGUGAUCAGUUUUUCUGUUUCUUCUCUGGAGAUGCACAAUGAGGGACGUCUGCAGAGACUGAGAAAGAGUCUCACCACAUCCUGACAUGAGGAAAAAGACUUUAUUGAAGACUACAAUGAGAAAAACUAUCAGACAGCAGACGGCUGCAUUCAAAUCUGUAGCUGCUUAAUUCAUGGAUGAAUCAUCUGGCACUAGAGAGGAAGACCAUCAAACAUCCACGUCACCUGAUGGAGGUCCAAAAGUCUCACCAAACAAACAACCUACAGAGUGAAGACCUCAAAUCUGAUUGGACGGCCUCCUAUUCAGCCAC